AUUUAAAUAGCUUAUAAAUAGAGUAUAAUAUUGAAGAUAUUAGGGAGAUAAAUUUAUCUUUGAAUA
rnacentral:tRNA from 1 species